rnacentral:misc_RNA from 1 species
GUUCACCACCUUGCUUUAAUUCCUAAUAACCGCUCCUUAACGGUGUGUCAUGGAUGCAUGAGUAUUUCUCCAAUAUUAGUUAAUGAGCAAACAGUUUAUGCUAGCCCAAUGUUGAAGUUUACCAUAUCAGCAGCUCUUGUGUCUCAUGGUUCAUAAACAAUGCAGGUACAAUUGUGCACUCAUUAUUCAUAAUUUGGCAUGGAAAGUAGGGCU